CAACCAUGAAUUCGCUUUUCAUUUGCCACAAGCAGAAGUAGGUAGCAACAAAGUCACAGUAAUCGUUGGGUCCAACAGGACGAUGAGAGAAAGAUGGAGAAGCUCUUCCUAUGGACGAGCUUCUUGAAGUUCAAACUUGGAGAGCUUGCACUUCGCCUGCGUCGAAAGCACCGGAUGUGGGAGGAGGAAGAAGGAGGCUUGCAGUGAACGAUGAUGGAAUCAUGGACCAGCAAUUAACUAAGGCAUCCGACUCGCCGUCUGAAGCUUCAGGUUGCAGUAAUGGCUCCAGCGGCAAUGGUGUUCUUUGCCUGAUCGGCCACCGAGCAAAUCUUGUUGAUGCGGUGAUCGUCUCAAGACAAACAUGUUAAUUUGAAACUCUGUAAAGAUAGAUGUAUAAAAGUUUUCUUACCAA